rnacentral:tRNA from 1 species
UGGCCUAGUGGUUAAGGCUAUGGAUCGCCAAUCCGGAGACGGCGGGUUCGACCCCCGU